GUGCCCUGUAUGGUUCCUUUCACUCUCAGUCCCUCUCAGUAAGAGCCCAGUGUGGCCCCAGUCACCUCCAGUAUGAGCCCAGUUACUCCCAGACACUCCCAGUACUAUGCCAGUCACUCCAAGUGUGACCCCAUCAGUCCCAGUAUGAUCCCAGUAUGACCCCAGCAUGGGCCAGCUGCUCCCAGUAUGAUCCCAGUUGCUCCCUGCAUUAUUCCAGUUUCUCCUCUUCACCCCUACUACAGAUCUGAUCACUCCCAGUAUGAUUCCAGUCAGUCCCAGGAUUAUCCAAACCAUUCCCAGUCCCUCCCAGUAUAUCUCAACUGUCCCCUGCGUGUUCCCAGUAGCCCUCAGUGUGGUCCCGGUAUAGCCCAGUAUGAUCCCUGGUGCCUCAGUUCUGCUCCCAGUGGGUUCUUUUCCCAGUCUGUCCCAGUCCCUCCCCAGCAGCUGCUGCCGUUUCCCAGAUCCUGCCCCCCCAACCCCAUUCCCGGGCACUGGGACCCCCCUGCACCCCCUUAUCCUGCACCAACACACCCCUGCACCCCCUUUCCCGGGUAUCCUCCUCUCCCAGCCCCUGGAUCCCCCGUUUCCGUGACCCGGGGACCCCCGGGCCCCCAUUCCUGGCCAGCCCGGGGCACCUCAGCCCCAGCCUCCCUUUGCUGGGAAACCCGGCCUGGGCACGGGGCUCUGCGGCCGCUCUGGGAUUUGGGAUCCCCCAAAGGAAAGGGAGAGAACAGCAGAGGGAGGGAGAAGGAGAUUGGCAAUCAGGGAUCGGGGUCCCAGCGCCCAGCCCUGCUCCGCCGGGGGUGGGACCGCACCCGCAGGACAAAUUGGCUCCGCUGCUCGCGGUGCUUGCCCGGCUUUGGGCCGGGCCCAGCGGGGUCCGGGCAGAGUUUGAGCGCAGGGCCGGGAGUUCAGCACAGCCCGGCCCGGGGGUCCCGCAGGGUGCGGCCCUGGAGGGUCCCAGACGGAUCCCCGAGGGAUCCCGACGGGUGCCAGGAGGGGAUCCGGGUGAAUUCCCUGGAAUUCGCCCUUUUCCCCUCCCCCUUUUCCCCUCCCCCCGCGC
rnacentral:lncRNA from 1 species